CUGUAGGAAUACAUGACAAUGAUUAUAUACAGAUUGGUUUUAGUAACUCAUCCCUGAUUAUUGAUAGUACAGAAAUGACUCUUGACAUGUCCAACUAUCAUGGAAUAAUGCAAUCAGGAGAAAUAUCAACUGUUCAGUUGCAAGUUGAAAGUUUAUCAGGUGAAGCUUUAAAUGUCACUCGCUUUGAUUUCUAUAAUUACAGUGGAAGCUACAGUGCAACUCUUAAUCUCUCUCAUCUUCCUUUCCCUCUGG